rnacentral:sRNA from 1 species
CGCAGCCGCGGUAAUUCCAGCUCCAAUAGCGUAUAUUAAAGUUGUUGCAGUUAAAAAGCUCGUAGUUGAAUUUCGGGGUUAGUAGGUUGGUCAUGCCUCCGGUAUGUACUGAUCUCACUGAUUCCUCCUUCCUUAUGAACCGUAAUGCCAUUAAUUUGGUGUUGCGGGGAAUUUGGACUGUUACUUUGAAAAAAUUAGAGUGUUUAAAGCAAGCUAACGCUUGAAUACAUUAGCAUGGAAUAAUGAAAUAGGACGUUCGAUCUUAUUUUGUUGGUUUCUAGGAUUGACGUAAUGAUUAAUAGGGAUAGUUGGGGGCAUUAGUAUUCAAUUGUCAGAGGUGAAAUCCUUGGAUUUAUUGAAGACUAACUACUGCGAAAGCAUUUGCCAAGGAUGUUUUCAUUAAUCAAGAACGAAAGUUAGGGGAUCGAAGACGAUCAGAUACCGUCGUAGUCUUAACCAUAAACUAUGCCGACUAGGGAUCGGGUGAUGUUAAUUUUUUAAUGACUCAUUCGGCGCCUUA